UACGUAGGUGGCAAGCGUUUGUCCGGAUUUACUGGGCGUAAAGAGCGCGCAGGCGGUCGUUCAAGUCGCGUGUGAAAGCCCCCGGCUCAACUGGGGAGGGUCACGCGAUACUGAUCGACUCGAAGGCAGGAGAGGGUAGUGGAAUUCCCGGUGUAGUGGUGAAAUGCGUAGAUAUCGGGAGGAACACCAGUGGCGAAGGCGACUACCUGGCCUGUUUCUUGACGCUGAGGCGCGAAAGCUAGGGGAGCAACGGGGAU
rnacentral:rRNA from 1 species